GCCCUAGUAACGGCGAGUGAAGCGGCAACAGCUCAAAUUUGAAAUCUGGCCCUUGGGUCCGAAUUGUAAUUUGUAGAGGAUGUUUUUGGUGCGGUAUCUUCCGAGUUCCUUGGAACAGGACGCCUUAGAGGGUGAGAGCCCCGUACGGUUGAAUGCCUAGCCUUUGUAAAACUCCUUCGACGAGUCGAGUAGUUUGGGAAUGCUGCUCUAAAUGGGAGGUAAAUUUCUUCUAAAGCUAAAUACUGGCCAGAGACCGAUAGCGCACAAGUAGAGUGAUCGAAAGAUGAAAAGCACUUUGAAAAGAGGGUUAAAUAGCACGUGAAAUUGUUGAAAGGGAAGGAUUUAUGACCAGACUUUUUCUAGGCGAAUCAUCCGGUGUUCUCACCGGUGCACUUCGUUUAGUUUAGGCCAGCAUCGAUUUUCGGGGCGGGAUAAAAGCUUUAGGAAUGUAGCUCCCUCGGGAGUGUUAUAACCUAUUGUAUAAUACCGCCCUGGGGAUCGAGGUACGCGCUUCUGCAAGGAUGCUGGCGUAAUGGUUAUCAAUCACCCGUCUUGAAACACGGACCAAGGAGUCGAACAUUUGUGCAAGUGUUUGGGUGUUAAACCCUCACGCGUAAUGAAAGUGAACGGAGGUGAGAGCCCUUACGGGUGCAUCAUCGACCGAUCCUGAUGUCUUCGGAUGGAUUUGAGUAAGAGCAUAACUGUUCGGACCCGAAAGAUGGUGAACUAUGCGUGGAUAGGGUGAAGCCAGAGGAAACUCUGGUGGAGGCUCGCAGCGGUUCUGACGUGCAAAUCGAUCGUCAAAUCUGCGCA
rnacentral:rRNA from 1 species